GCCGUUGUAGCUCAGUCGGUAGAGCAAUGCUUUCGUAAAGCAUAGGUCGCCAGUUCGAUCCUGGCCAACGGCU
rnacentral:tRNA from 1 species